UACGUAGGGUGCGAGCGUUGUUCGGAAUUACUGGGCGUAAAGCGCACGUAGGCGGGUUGUUAAGUCAGGGGUGAAAUCCUGGAGCUCAACUCCAGAACUGCCUUUGAUACUGGAAGUCUUGAGUAUGGGAGAGGUGAGUGGAACUGCGAGUGUAGAGGUGAAAUUCGUAGAUAUUCGCAAGAACACCAGUGGCGAAGGCGGCUCACUGGCCCAUUACUGACGCUGAGGCACGAAAGCGUGGGGGAGCAAACAGG
rnacentral:rRNA from 1 species